AAUAAAUAAAAGAGUGCACCAAAGGACUAAAUCAAAACAGACGCAAAGCGCGGAAGGGUUAUCCGCACAAAUAGCCCAUUUACCAGAAACACGUGGAUCUCCCCCGGGUCAGGUCGCGCGCGGGUCGUAUGUCUGAAACGACGACAUUUUUGUGCUUACCCUUUGGCCCAAAAUGGCGCCGUUUCGGGUAAGCUAUAAAUACCAAUUUUUUUAAAAAUCCUUAUUAUUCCUUCAUUUAUAAAAAAACAAAAAAAAAAACUUUCUUUUAAACUCUUUC
rnacentral:lncRNA from 1 species